rnacentral:rRNA from 1 species
UAACGAAUCUUCCGCAAUGGGCGCAAGCCUGACGGAGCAAUGCCGCGUGCGGGAUGAAGUAUCUCUGGUAUGUAAACCGCUGUCAGGGGACGGAAACAAUGAUUGUCCCCAGAGGAAGUGGCGACUAACUCUGUGCCAGCAGUCGCGGUAAUACAGAGGCCACGAGCAUUAGUCGGAAUCACUGGGCUUAAAGGGUGCGUAGGUGGCUUGCCAAGUGCUUUGUGAAAUCCCACGGCUCAACCGUGGAACAGCAGGGCAUACUGGCAGGCUUGAGGCAAGUAGGGGCUGACGGAACAGUAGGUGGAGCGGUGAAAUGCGUAGAUAUCUACUGGAACGCCGAUGGUGAAGACGGUCAGCUGGGCUUGUCCUGACACUGAGGCACGAAAGCGUGGGGAGCAAA